AGUGGCGGACGGGUGAGUAACGCGUGAGCAAUCUGCCUUCAGGUCGGGGACAACAGAGGGAAACUUCUGCUAAUCCCGGAUGAGCCUUAGGGUAAAAAAUUUAUUGCCUGGAGAUGAGCUCGCGUCUGAUUAGCUAGUUGGUAAGGUAAAAGCUUACCAAGGCAACGAUCAGUAGCUGGUCUGAGAGGAUGAGCAGCCACACUGGGACUGAGACACGGCCCAGACUCCUACGGGAGGCAGCAGUGGGGAAUUUUCCGCAAUGGGCGAAAGCCUGACGGAGCAAGACCGCGUGGGGGAGGAAGGCUCUAGGGUUGUAAACCCCUUUUCUUUGGGAAGAACAAAAUGACGGUACCAAAGGAAUCAGCCUCGGCUAACUCCGUGCCAGCAGCCGCGGUAAUACGGAGGAGGCAAGCGUUAUCCGGAAUGAUUGGGCGUAAAGCGUCCGCAGGUGGCAAUGUAAGUCUGCUGUCAAAACCCAGGGCUCAACUCUGGUCAGGCAGUGGAAACUACAUAGCUAGAGUUCGGUAGGGGCAAAGGGAAUUCCCGGUGUAGCGGUGAAAUGCGUAGAGAUCGGGAAGAACAUCGGUGGCGAAAGCGCUUUGCUAGACCGAAACUGACACUCAGGGACGAAAGCUAGGGGAGCGAAUGGGAUUAGAUACCCC
rnacentral:rRNA from 1 species